rnacentral:rRNA from 1 species
AUUGAACGCUGGCGGAAUGCUUUACACAUGCAAGUCGAGCGGCAGCGCGGGGCAACCUGGCGGCGAGCGGCGAACGGGCGAGUAAUACAUCGGAACGUACCCAGUUGUGGGGGAUAGCCCGGCGAAAGCCGGAUUAAUACCGCAUACGACCUGAGGGUGAAAGGGGGGGAUCGCAAGACCUCUCGCACUUGGAGCGGCCGGGGGCGGAUUAGCUAGUUGGUGAGGUAAAGGCUCACCAAGGCGACGAGCCGUAGCGGGUCUGAGAGGACGACCCGCCACACUGGAACUGAGACACGGUACAGACUCCUACGGGAGGCAGCAGUGGGGAAUUUUGGACAAUGGGGGCAACCCUGAUCCAGCCAUUCCGCGUGAGUGAAGAAGGCCUUCGGAUUGUAAAGCUCUUUCGGCAGGAACGAAACGGUCUUUUCUAAUACAAGAGGCUAAUGACGGUACCUGAAGAAGAAGCACCGGCUAACUACGUGCCAGCAGCCGCCGUAAUAC